rnacentral:rRNA from 1 species
UACGUAGGGUGCAGGCGUUAAUCGGAAUUACUGGGCGUAAAGCGUGCGCAGGCGGUCUUUUUAAGUCAGAUGUGAAAUCCCCGGGCUUAACCUGGGAACUGCGUUUGAAACUGGAAGGCUUGAGUGUGGCAGAGGGGGGUGGAAUUCCACGUGUAGCAGUGAAAUGCGUAGAGAUGUGGAGGAACACCGAUGGCGAAGGCAGCCCCCUGGGCUAACACUGACGCUCAUGCACGAAAGCGUGGGGAGCAAACAGG